rnacentral:miRNA from 1 species
CUCCAGGUGGGUGGGGAAGGGCGGAGCUCAUGUCAGGUAUCUUCCCCUGUCCCACCCAG